UAUUUAUUUAUUUAUUUAUUCCUGUUAUCUACGCACUUCUUUAUUUGAGUCUUCUAGCACCCAGCUACCAUCCUUGACUCUUUGGAAUUUGGAAACCCAUGUCAUGUUGUUCCAUCGAGGUUAAUUGAUGUGGCUCUCUUAUAUAUUGUGUGGGUGAGUGGGUUACUUCCAAAUGCUCGUAGCUCCACAUACCCAUAAUGGAAUGGAAGGAUACUUGAGGUUCAAGUUGCUACCCAAAGCCAAGUUUCGGAGAUAAUGGUGCAUACGGUCAAUUAUCAACCCAAGAAAUAGGGUAAAACCUGCAAAUCAAGUUCAGGCUUUCAGAAUAUACACGCCGGACCAAUCUGAAAGGAAAAUUAAAGCAGACAAUCAUGACGCAUUACAUCACCACAAGAGAAGCAUUUCUUGUUAGUUGAUGAAGGAAAAUUUACAGUCAACUUACAAGUUACAUGCUUACUGUAAUUUCGUAAAUAACAGCAGUGUGCUCCGAAAAGUGUAAAUAUAGGCAACAUUGAAGCUGCCCGGAAAGUGUUUGAUGUAUUGCCUCAAAGAGGCAUAGAUGCAUGGAAUGCCAUGAUAAUAGCCUAUCACGUAAUGAGUACCCAGAUGAAGUUCUAAAUCUAUAUCGUCAGAUAAUCUUUGAAGGUGUUAGACCCGAUAACGAUAACAUGACUUUCACUAUGGCUCUCAAGGAAUGUUCGAGGUUGUCGGAUUUGAAAACAAGAGAGGAACUUUGGUGUAAAGCAAUGGAUUGUAUAGGUGAAUGCAAAAGGAGAGAAUGGAAGAAGAUGGGGUUGUGAUGGUGGGGUUCACACAGGUUUGUGCAAAUCUUGGGGACUUAAACUGGGCCUUUCUGUUCAUUGGUAUUUGAUGCAGAAAGAUCUUCCUAUGAAUGUUGUAGUUCAAACUAGCUUGCGGAUAUUUAUGCCAAGAAUGGGCAUUUGAAGCUUGCUUGUCAUGCCUUCAGGAUGAUGCCUUACAAGAAUGUCAUAUCUUGGAGUGCAUUUAUUUCUGGCUUUGCUCAAUAUGGUUUUGCAGAAUGGAAGAGAUGCAGGGUUGUGGAUACAAACCAGAUUUAGUGUCUCUUGUGAGUGCACUUCUAGGAUGUUCCCAAGUUGGGAUUUGGAAAUUGAGCAAAUCUAUACACGGAUAUAUUGUGAGAAGGCUCAACUUUGAUUGAAUAGUAGGUAGUGCAGUGUUUGACAUGUAUUCAAAAUGUGGAGCCCUUUCUUGGGCAUACAGUCUCUUUGAUCAGACAAAUUCCAAAGACUCAAUAUCUUCAAAUACAAUGAUUACCAGCUAUAAAAUUCAUGGGUAUGGAAAAGAAGCACUGUCUCAAACUACUAUACAAAGGCGGGGAGGAAGUGGGAAAGUGCCAAUGUAGAGUGUAGUGGAAGUGAAAGGAAAACUACAUGCUUUUCUUAAGGAAGAUAAGAGCCAUUAUCAAUAUGAAUAUAUGAUGCAACUUUUGGAUAAGUUGGCUCACGAAAUGAGAGCUACUGGAUAUGUCCCAAAGACUGAAUUUGUGUUGCAUUCCCUUGAAGAGGAAGUCAAAGAAAAAUGUAAUGUAAUCAGAGUGAGAGGCUUGCUAUUGCUUUUGGUCUAUUAAACACAGGGCCUGGAACCAGAUUACUGAUCAUAAAGAACCUUAGGGUGUUGUGAGGGAUGUGAAGUGAUUUCAUCACUUCAAGAAUGGGAUCUGCUUAGGUGGUGACCACUGGUGAAGCCGAUGUGCAUGUAUAUCCUUUCUCUUUGCUGGAUUUGUCACAGCUGAGGUGUUGAAAUAUCAGGGUAGGAUCUGACAUAGGAAACCAAGUUGCUAAUAUUAUAAUGGGGUAAUGGAAGAGACAAGCAAGCUAACAUUUCAAUUGCAUACUACAACCUCCAAGGAGUGUAAAGAUGAAGCUUGGUAACCAGUACAGUCCUUUGAGAUGGUCCCAUCCAACAUAUCCAUAUCCAACUGGGUAGCUGGCAGAAUUUGGUUGUUGAUAUGCAUCCACCACUUUUUCAAUUUCACCUUUAUACUAUAUACUCCAGCCAAGUUCAAAGAGAUUUUGUCAAAAAUGAUACAAUUUCUUUAAUGCUCACGGUAGAUGCAGAUUGUUGAAAGGAUUUAUCUCUGAUUGCAAUGCCAAAGAAAAGGACUGGUGGGAUUUUUUUUUAAUCCAAAUGUCUUCCUGGGUGCUUAGCUUCUACAAGACUGAUUUACCUCUGACAGCUCAGGUUCUGGGAAGGAUUUAGGCAGUACAUGAGGGAGUUUGGUGAAUUGAAAAUGUAAUAAUGGUGAAGGUACAGUGAACAAUUCCUGUAUUUGAUUAAGGAUACUGAAAUUUUUGGUUUCUAUGUUCAAUAUUCGUCCUCUGAUCAUGCAAAAUAA